rnacentral:tRNA from 1 species
AGGAUUAAAGUUUAAUCUAAACAUCUAAUUUGCAUUUAGAAAAGACUUUUUAAAGUUAAUCUU